UAGGGAAUUUUCGGCAAUGGGGGAAACCCUGACCGAGCAAUGCCGCGUGAAUGAAGAAGGUCUUCGGACUGUAAAAUUCUGUUAUUUGUGGAAGAAAGGUAGUUGGAGGAAAUGCCAAUUACUUGACGGUACCAAAUGAGAAAGCCCCGGCUAACUAUGUGCCAGCAGCCGCGGUAAUACAUAGGGGGCGAGCGUUAUCCGGAAGUAUUGGGCGUAAAGCGUGCGUAGGUGGUCAGUUAAGUCUGGCGUGAAAUUCCCUGGCUUAACCAGGGGGGGUCGUUGGAAACUGGCUGACUUGAAUCCAGAAGGGGUAAGUGGAAUUCCAUGUGUAGCGGUAAAAUGCAUAGAGAUAUGGAGGAACACCAGUGGCGAAGGCGGCUUACUGGGCUGGAAUUGACACUGAGGCACGAAAGCGUGGGUAGCAAACAGG
rnacentral:rRNA from 2 species